rnacentral:lncRNA from 1 species
UACUGGUUACCAACUCUUUCCUUAUUUGAUCAUUUAUUAUAACUGUCUCGUAAUAGUCUUUCCUUGUUGAAAUUUUUUUAUGUUUGCUGUAUAGCUAGACAAACAUUAUAUUUGGGGAAGCUUUGCGACUUAUUGUUGCCCAGUCAAAGAAAUAAGAAGAAAGGUUGGUUGCAUGGAAAUUACAUACCCCAUAUAACGUGUACCCCAAGCAACCACUGCCAGGGCCUCGUCUGUCCAGUCCAAGAUCCAGUCCAAUUCGCAACAGAAUUCCAGAAAUAACCACCACCAUUUUUUGUUGAUCAAAGCAAAAAGGUCGAUCGAAAUUAAAGGCACAACACAAAUAGAUAUCCCAAAAGUAGGAGUACAAGUAAAGCAAAUCCAAAUUAAACGGAAAACAUGUAUACCUUAAGUAUUCCAAUUCAGACAUGAGUCGUUAAGAACAUGUAAUAUAGCACGGUGAAAUGAAACGAUAAUUCAACAGCUUCAGAAAUCGGAAAUCAGCAGGAUGAUAUACCAUUGAUCAGAAAUCAGAAGGAUGAUAUAUCAUUGCUCAAAAGGCUGGGAGACCCUGACUUUCCUUAUCUUCAGGGAAGAAGAACUCUUCCCAUGAAUCAGUUUCCCCUUUCUUUUUGUUCCACUCGGCGCAUUCUGAGAUCCUGUGGUCACCAAUCUCAUCACAAAAAGAACACCAAAGGAUAUUAACACGCCGCCUGUAUAUUUCAUAGCCCUUGUCAACUUGAGUUACGCCGAAGGGGAGACGUCUCCUCCAAGGACACUGUUCAGGCGCGUGGCCAAACUUAGUGCAAAUUGGACAGCUAGACGACAAUUCGGAAACUAUGCGUGGCUUGACUAUGAAUUAUACAAUUAUAUAAUACACACGCGUUAUCUUUAAAGAAAAUAUAUGUAUCUAAUAUCCAACAAAUCAAAUAUUAUAUGAGCAAAAGUGCUCUUGUGUUGUUAUUCAUAAUAAGGGUAAAACUGUAAACAGUUAAGGUUGUUAUGGUUGUUUUGUAAUUAGUGAGUGAUGAGUUGAUGAAGGUGUAAUUAGUUAGCUAUCUAAUACUAGUGAGUAACUAGUAUAUAAGGCAUCAGGGUGUAACCUUAUUGAGUUAAUGAAAAUGAAAGGAUAAUUUUCCUAAUAUGGUAUCACUCGCCUAAGUCCUACGAUAGCCGAUCCUCUCCUUCUGCUUCCCGCUUCUUCCUCUUCGAAUCUUCAAACCCUAGAAAUCUCCCGCUUCUUAAUCUUCGAUUCUUCCAACCCUAGUAAUCACCAUGGCUGGAUCUCCUUCUUCUGGAUCUGCUUCUUGUCCUAAUUCUUCUCUCUCCUCGACGACAUCGUCGAUUACGAUCCAAAAUAUUGGAUCUAUGGUGCCGAUCAAGCUCACAUCGACGAACUAUCUCACCUGGAAUGCUCUGUUCGCUCCCAUCCUUCGCCGGUACAAUCUCACCGGAAUCAUUGACGGCACGAUGUCUGCUCCGCCAAAAUAUCUUCUUGACUCCUUGGGUACUCAAACUUCUACUCUCAAUCCUCAGUAUGUUACUUGGUUUGAGAAUGAUCAGAAUAUCUUGAUUUGGAUCAAUUCUACUCUCUCGGAUGCCCUAAUUCCGUACACUGUUGGAGUUAAUUCGGCCCGUGAGCUCUGGUCCAAAUUGGAAUCGCGACUUGCAACGGCUUCGCAAUCGCACGUUCAUGAGCUUCGUUCUCGUCUUCGUAGCAUCAUGAAGGGUGAUUCUCCGGCUGCGCUCUAUCUUCAACAAAUUGAAGAAAUCGCAGAUGCUCUUGCCAAUGCAGGCGCUCCAAUCGAAGAUUCUGAGUUGAUUUCUGUCAUUUUACAUGGUUUGCCCUCUGAGUAUGAGUCUUUCAUUGAUGCAAUCCAAUUUCGCCUGGGUUCAACCACUAUUGAUGAACUUCAUGGGCUGCUUUUGAGUAAAGAGCUUCAAUUGACUGCUCGCAAGAAAACCUCACCUUCUACUCCCGUUCAAGCUUUUAAUGCUUCUGCUGGUCUUCUUCCCACACCUCUUGGUGAUUUUGGUCCGCAAGCAUUCUUUACUCAGAACGGCUCUUCUUCCCAAUCCUAUGGUCCUCCAAAUCGUGGCAAUUUCUCUCAAUCUCGUAAUUACACAAAUCGUGGUUCACAGCGGAAUCAUCAAGGUUUUCAGGGCAAUCAACGAUUCAAUCGCGGGUUUCAGGGUAAUCCUCGUUACAAUCGUGGUCCUCGUUCUCAGUACAACAAUUCUCACAGAAAGAUUUCCUGUCAAAUUUGUCGCCAAUUGGAUCAUGAAGCUAUUGAGUGUCCUCAGCGCAUGAAUCCCAAUUUUGGUAACAAGAACUCUCCAGCUGCUUAUCAUGCCUCUACCUCUCCUACUUGGCUUCUUGAUUCUGGUGCGAGCUCGCACAUGACUCAUUCCUCCACCAAUUUGCAGAAUCCUGAGCCUUACACUGGACCUGAGCAAGUGUAUAUUGGUGAUGGCAAAGGUUUGCCUAUUCUCAAUUCUGGUUCUUCUACACUUAAUACUGGUUCUCAUUGUUUUGAUCUUAACAAUGUCUUGCAUGUUCCUCAUCUUAAGCAAGAUUUGAUUUCCGCAAAUCGGUUUAUUCUUGAUAAUUGGUGUUCUAUUCAUUUGUAUCCUUUUCACUUCAUUGUGAAGGAUCUUUCUUCGGAGAAAACGCUUUUUAAAGGUCCUGUGAGAGCUGGUUUCUAUCCAUUUCAUGCAUCUUCUAUUGCUGGUAAUCAAAAGGCAUUUGCUGCUUCUGCUAAAGCUUCCCCGCAGACUUGGCAUCAUAGAUUGGGUCAUCCUGCUCUCAACAUUCUUCGUAAACUAGCAACUCAUUCUUGUAUUUCAGUUUCCAGUGCUUUAAAUAAAUCUGUGUGCUCCAGUUGUGCUCUAGGCAAGAGUUCCAAGUUGUCUUUUGCUUCUGUUUCUUGUAUAUCCAGUAGGCCUCUAGAGCUCUUGCACACUGAUGUAUGGGGUCCUGCACCACUCAUUUCUGUUAAUGGAUAUCGCUAUUAUCUCAUUUUUGUUGAUGACUACACCAAGUAUACUUGGUUUUUUCCUCUCAAAUCUAAAUCUGAUGUCUUUGAUACAUUUGUGCAAUUCAAAGUGUUGGUGGAAACUUUACUCAGUACUAAGAUUGUUAUCUUGCGAUCUGAUUCUGGUGGGGAAUUUCUGAGUCUUAAGUUUAUCCGGUUUCUUCAAGAACAAGGCAUUUCCCAUCAGUUAAGCUGCCCCCACACACCUGAGAAAAAUGGUUGUGCUGAGCGCAAGCACCGGCAUUUGGUUGAAACUGCUCGCACUCUCCUAGCAGCAUCCAAGGUUCCUCAAUCUUAUUGGGUUGAAGCUUUUGCCACAGCUAUCUAUCUCAUCAAUCGGAUGCCAACAACCACCAACUUCUCACCUUGGGAACUACUAUUUCACAGAUCUCCAGAUUACACCUCACUGAAAAUUUUUGGAUGCCGAUGUUUCCCAUGAUUGAAACCUUAUACAACUUCCAAGCUUGAUCCCAAGAGCAAGGAAUGUGUUUUUUUGGACUACAGUUUAAACCACAAAGGCUAUAAAUGUCUUGAUCCUUCCACUGGCAGAGUGUAUCUUUCAAGGCAUGUUAUUUUUGAUGAAGUUACAUUUCCUUUUGCUCAACAGGAUCAUCCUCCGCCAUCACAUUCCAGCUCUAGUUCUUCUCCUUUGCACCCUUCCAAUCCUAUUCCCACCACUUUAACUUUUCCUUCUCUAUCUCAACCUUCUUCCUCUCUGUCUCCUCUCUUAUCUCCAACUCCCUCUUCACCCUCUCCAUCCCCAUCUCUUCCUGUCCCCUCUUCUACUGCCUUACCUAACCCUCCUCUUUCUGCACCCUCAAUCCCUCUCAAUACUCAUUCCAUGCAAACCAGAUCCAAAUCGGGUAUUUUUAAACCCAAAGCACUUAUGGCAACUAAGUAUCCCCUCUCUUCUAAUCUUUCUCCCGAUUAUACACCUUCUACCUAUCUUUAAGCCUCUAAACAUCCUCAUUGGCGUCAAGCAAUGCAAGACGAAUUUAAUGCUCUCAUUCAAACUGGAACUUGGUCUCUAGUUCCUGCAUCUCCUACUCAGAACUUGGUUGGUGCGAAAUGGGUGUUCCGAAUCAAACGAAAACCGGAUGGUACUAUUGAUAGGUACAAAGCUAGGCUUGUUGCAAAAGGCUUCCAUCAGCAGCACGGUAUUGAUUAUACUGAGACAUUUAGUCCAGUUGCUAAGCCUGUUACUAUUCGGUUACUUCUCACUUUGGCUGCUAAGUUUGAUUGGUUUCUCAAUCAACUUGAUGUCAGCAAUGCUUUUUUGCAUGGUAACUUGACCGAAUCUGUGUUCAUGAUCCAACCACCAGGAUUUGAAGACCCUACCAAGCUAAAUCAUGUUUGUCAUCUCCAUAAAUCUUUGUAUGGGCUCAAGCAAGCCCCCAGGGCCUGGUAUGACAAACUCACCAUUGCAUUGAAGUCUCUGGGUUUCUCAGGUUCCUCAAAUGAUCAUUCUUUAUUUGUCAAGAAGGCUCCUGCGUUGAUCUUCAUUUUGGUCUACGUUGAUGAUAUUAUUGUUACUGGACCGAAUGCUCAACUCUGCCAAGAUGUUAUUUCUCAGCUCAGUUCUUUAUUUCCUGUCAAAGAUCUUGGUCCUCUUCAUUACUUCCUUGGUAUUGAAGUCAAGCGGUCUUCAUCUGGUAUCCUUCUCUUUCAACACAAGUAUAUUCUUGAUCUUCUCUCCAAAGCCCACAUGGAAGGCUCCAAACCUUGUGUCACUCCUCUUAGUACAACUAAAUUGGAUCAUGACUCUUCUCUGCUUGAUAACCCUGAGGAAUAUAGAUCUUUGGUUGGUGGUUUGCAAUACUUAACAUGGACACGGCCAGAUCUGUCUUUUGCAGUUAAUUUGGUUUGUCAAUUUAUGCACUGUCCGAGACAAGCUCAUUUUCAGGCCGUCAAACGCAUUCUCCGAUAUCUAAAGGGUACCCUGUCUCUUGGCUUAUGGUUUCCCAAAUGUCCUAACCCUCUUACUCUUACUGCUUUCUCUGAUGCCGACUGGGCCGGUUGCAGUCUUGAUCGCCGAUCUACUGGGGGGUUUUGUGUCUAUUUGGGUGACUCCCUUAUAAGCUGGAGUGCCAAGAAACAGCCUACUGUGGCUCGGUCAUCGACCGAAGCUGAAUAUCGAUCUUUGGCUAACACUGCAGCUGAACUGACAUGGAUAAGUAAGCUUCUACUUGAUGUUGGUCUUGCUCUUCCUUCUUCCCCUCAGAUUUGGUGUGACAACAUUUCUGCCAUUUCAUUGGCUAAAAAUCCAAUCUUCCAUGCUCGAACCAAGCAUGUGGAGAUUGAUUAUCACUACAUUCGGGAAAGAGUGCUUGCUCAUCAAGUUCAAGUUUUGUUUGUGUGUACUCAAGAUCAGGUUGCUGAUAUAUGCACCAAGGCUCUGUCCAAGCACAGAUUCCAUCUUCUCCGGGACAAACUCUCCCUUCGGCUACCUCAGUUCGGUUUGAGGGGGGAUAAUAAGGGUAAAACUGUAAACAGUUAAGGUUGUUAUGGUUGUUUUGUAAUUAGUGAGUGAUGAGUUGAUGAAGGUGUAAUUAGUUAGCUAUCUAAUACUAGUGAGUAACUAGUAUAUAAGGCAUCAGGGUGUAACCUUAUUGAGUUAAUGAAAAUGAAAGGAUAAUUUUCCUAA